rnacentral:rRNA from 1 species
CUGACCGUGCAAAGGUAGCAUAAUCAUUUGCCUUAUAAUUGAAGGCUGGUAUGAAUGGUUUGACAAGAAUAUAGCUGUCUCUUUAUAAUUUGCUAGAAUUUUAUUUGUAAGUGAAGAAGCUUACAUAAAAUUGAAGGACAAGAAGACCCUAUCGAGCUUUAAAAAAACUAACGGAUUAAGAAAUUAUUUAUAAAAAACAAUCCACUAGACAUUUUAGUUGGGGCGACUGAGGAACAAAAAAAGCUUCCUUUAAGGUAUUAGAUAAACGCACGAGUAUUGAUCCAGAAAUUUUGAUUAAAGGAAAUAGUUACCGUAGGGAUAACAGCAUAAUCUUUUUUAAGAGCCCAUAUCGAAAAAAAGGUUUGUGACCUCGAUGUUGGACCAGAAUAUCCUGAAGAUGUAGCAGUCUUUAAGGGUUGGUCUGUUCGACCAUUAAAAGUCUACGUG